UACGUAGGUGGCAAGCGUUAUCCGGAAUUACUGGGCGUAAAGCGCACGCAGGUGGCUAUCUAAGAUUGACGUGAAACCUUCUGGCUUAACUGGAAGACGUCGUUGGUGACUGGAUGGCUUGAGGUGAGGAGAGGGGUGCAGAAUUCCCGGUGUAGUGGUGGAAUGCGUAGAUAUCGGGAGGAAUACCAGUGGCGAAAGCGGCACCCUGGCCUUGGCCUGACGCUCAGGUGCGAAAGCGUGGGGAGCGAACGGG
rnacentral:rRNA from 1 species